UACGUAGGGCGCAAGCGUUGUUCGGAUUUACUGGGCGUAAAGGGCGCGUAGGCGGCGCGGUAAGUCACUUGUGAAAUCUCUGAGCUUAACUCAGAACGGCCAAGUGAUACUGCAGUGCUAGAGUGCAGAAGGGGCAAUCGGAAUUCUUGGUGUAGCGGUGAAAUGCGUAGAUAUCAAGAGGAACACCUGAGGUGAAGACGGGUUGCUAGGCUGACACUGACGCUGAGGCGCGAAAGCCAGGGGAGCAAACAGG
rnacentral:rRNA from 1 species